AUCAAACUGCUGGGUCCUAACUUCAUCCCCUGUACUGGGUCGUGACAAGGGUGUAUUUACCAGAGGUCACCGAAGUCACUUUCUCUCAUUAAUGUAAAAACAUUUUUUUUAACUAAAUGUGUCAGUGCUGUCACAAUGGAUUGUUAUUCUAUAAUAUUUGAUUUCAUUCUAUAUUCGAUAUAUAAUUGCAUGAAACUGUGAAGUGCAAUUCACUGAAACAUAUUUACACAAUAAAGAGAGUAAUGGCGUCUUUUUGUAGGUACCAACUCGGUCAUGGCUAGAAGGGAUCCAGCUUCUGUUCUGAGAUAAAUAAAUAAAAAACAUGUUUUUACCUUUUAUUUAACUAGGCAAGUCAGUGAAGAACAAAUUCUUAUUUACAAUGACGACCUAGUAACAGUGAGUUACCUGUCUUGUUCAGGGGCAGAACGACAGAUUAUUAAACAUGUCAACUCGGGAUUAGUUCUAACAACCUUUCGGUUACUAGUCCAAAACUCUAACCGCUAGUCUACCUGCCGCCCCGAUCGUCACUUUUUGAAUUUUUAAGCAUUUAUGAAAAAAUACAUAAAGGCUUCAUCAUUUAUAAUACUCAGGUUACCUGGCUGAUUGUUUUAUGAACAAAUCCUAUAAAAUCUCAACCUGUGUUAAUCUCAGACCUUAUUUCAGAGUUUAUUCCAAACCCCUAUUCUUUCCCCAUUCAUUUUGCCGAUAGGAAUUUCUGAACGAACCAGAGGUAAAUCAUUUACGUUUUUUAGGACUACAAGCUGGCUAGCUCUAUAUUGCACAAUAUAUAGUCACAUAUUUUUUUAUAACUAACCCAUGAUAGACGUUUCCAAUGUGAUUAAAUUAAUCAUUGUGGGCAGAACAAUUAAGGAGCCGUUUCAAAUAUUUUUAAUUAGAAAAUAUUUUAGAAGCAUUCAUUGAUGUCUAUUGAUUAAAACAUUAUGCAAAAUACGAUUGUAAAUAUAACAUAUGUCUUGAAUACUGUCAUAUACACAGCAUUUUAACAUAAUAUUCUAACAAACCACCUGAAGAUGCAGGAAUCAAUGCUAUUUGUGACAUUGUUUCAUUGAUGAGUCAGUCUAGGUAAAUCAUUAGAUCUGAUAGCAAAAAUGUACAAAUUAAAUGGGUCCACCCAAUAGAAUGCAGCAUUGUUGUUUGAUAGUAAUUUUCCAUGAGCAUGUGAACAUUCCAACUUGUUUCAACAUUAUUUUAUCAGCCUGCAUACACUUUUGUAUAGACUCCCAUAUAACAAGAUGUAAAGGUGUGAAAAACAUAGAACGCUACUUUUUUGGAGACAUCAUAUAACUGUCACGGGCGUCGUAAGAAGUAGACCAAAGUGUGGCGUGGUGAGCGUACAUUUCUGUUUAUUUAGGUAAAUGUCGCCAACAAAACAAAGAAACGACCGUGAAGCUUAACAUAGUCAACUACCCACAAAACAACAGGGAAAGAAGGAUGCCUAAGUAUGAUUCCCAAUCAGAGAAAACUAUAGACAGCUGUCCCUGAUUGAGAACCAUACCCGGCCAAAACAUAGAAGCACAAAAACCUAGAAAAGAAAACCUAGAAUUCCCACCCAAAUCACACCCUGACCAAACCAAAAUAGAGACAUAAAAGGCUCUCUCAGGUCAGGGUGUGACCAUACCAAUUUGAUCAGGGGCUUGUGGGGAACAAUUUAAUAACAUCAAACCUUUGCCACCUCAAAGUGGACACAUUUGGACUAUUAUGCCAUUUAGCAGAUGCUUUUUUAUCCAAAGCAGUUUACAGUCGUGCGUGCAUAAUGUUUAUGUAUGGCUGGCCCCAGAAGGAAUCAAACUAUCAACCCUUGGCAUUGUAAGCUCCAUGCUUUACCAACUGAACCAUCUGGCCCAUACAGCUCGAAGAUGGCCCUGUUGAGUACGCCAGCAGCAGGUGGUGAGGGAAGGAGAAGGUAGCUAAUCAAUGGGUAUCGUUUCAAUGUUGUAUGAAUGAUCAUUUUCAUUUAUAUAUGAUCUACUAACUGCAAUAAAGAGGGAGCUUCAGAUUCAGCAGCAAUGGCAUAAAGUGGAAGGGUAUUGGACCAUCUGUUCCACAAAAUGAAACCAAAUAAAUGAGUAUAGCUAUGUUUGUUUGUAUUUUUGUUGAAAGUUUGACCUUUGACUAUACCUCUCACAGGUGGCUGCAAGCAGGCAGGCUUCAGAGCCUGGGUGUAACCCCUCCCCUCUAAUCCACUUCCAAACCCACUAGGCCCUCACUGAGAAGUCUCAGGUCUACAUCACAGCUUUGUGGUAUAAAAAGGCUUCUAGAAACAUCUAUUCAUGUCUGCUAGCUACAUUACAGCCUGUCAUCUUGUACAGCAGGGAGUAGCCUAUUGGAGUAGAUUUAUAUACAGUAUAUGCUUUGUGUUACUGCAGGACUGUUUGCAUUUACACUGAUGAAUGGCAUAUUGGCAGGCGAGGAGUAAAGAGUGGAGGGCCAUCUUCCCUGAGGGUCUGCCUCCCUCCUAUGUGUUUGUGGCCAAGAGCCCCACCGACCGUGAGAAGUUGGACCUGAUCAGAGUGCUCUCUCAGGACAGGCUGAAACAGUUCGUUGUGACACUCAAUGGGCUGGACAAGUCUGCCACCUUCACCAUCACAACCAGCAGUGUCAUCAAGAAAGAACAGUGUCAUAUUCAAUGAUCGAGGCAUUAAGGUCUGUAGAAACACACUGAAAUAAUGACCCCAAAACCUUAGGACUGGUUUCCUGGACACACAUUAAUCCUAGUACUGGGCUUUAAAGCAUAUUAAAUGGAUAGCUUAAAACUUCUUAGGGCUAGGUGUCAACGGGACACCCGUCGACAACUUCUGGUGAAAUUGGAGGGGGCGGGAUACAAAAACUGAGGCUUUACUGCGAUCCCGAGCAAAUUGAGGAAGAGACGACGUGUGAUAUAUACUCUGUGGUGAGUGUAAUGAUACUGUAACUACGAUACUCAUCGUUUACUUCCAUAUGUCACUGAAGGUUGAGGUUUAAUGCAGGGAGCCAAAGAUACAAUUAUCAUCUUCAUAUCAUUAUCUCUCUCUGUUUAUUUCUAUACAGGGGGAUGACAGGGAGUAUGCUUGUUGGUUGUCUAUGUGUUGCUCAGUUUUUACAGUACAUUUGUACACUUGUUGCGUUGUCCCUGUUAUGUUAAACUGUUUUCUGCCCCCAGUGUCUCCUGGACAGACAACCUGCAGCAGUGGAGAGCUGUAACUGCCCCCAGGGGAAACCUGGGCCUCCUGGUCUUCCUGGGCCUAUUGUGAUUAAGUAAUACCAUGUUAGACUAGAAAAGUACAUUUCCUGAAGAAAAUGUGGUGUGCUUACUAGCUUGUUUUAAUGUAUUUAUGGUUAUGAGGUAAGUUAUAGUAGUGGUAGUGACUGCAGUAGAAAUGGUAGUGACUGGUUAUAGUUGGAAAAAGUAGGUAGAUGAAGAGAUUGAACAUUUGAAAGUUGUUUUUGUGUGUCUAACGGUUCAAAAGUUACUGUUGGCGAGUUAUUUUAUGCAAAUGUAUGCACAUUUAUAUAGUUAUAGUUAUAAUUUUAUGUUAGGAUAGCCUGAACAUGUGAAAGAUGGUUUGGUGUCUCUAGCUUGAACGGCUCAAUAAUUACCAUUGGGGAGUUAUUUUAUGCACGUUUAUAUAGUUCUAGUUGAAUACAUUUUUUAGAGAUUUUGAAGUUAGGAUAGCCUGAACAUGUGAAAGUUGAUUUGGUUUAUUUCCAUUGAAAUGGAUUGGAUUUGAUUUUAAAUAUUGUCGUAGUUCAAAAAGUAAAAAUACUAUCAAAAAUGUUUUCUCAAGCAAUCUAAGUUGGUGACGUAUGCACAUCUGAAAGUUUGUUUCGUGGUAAUAUCUUAAAGCGUUUAAGCGCAAGAGUGAGCCGAAGAAAUAAAACAAUUAUUUGACUAUGUAAGAAAUCUAAUGUUGUGCUUUGCCUUCAGCAAGCACACCAAUGUAAUUUUGUACCCCUUUUUCUCCCCAAUUUCAUGUCUCAUUGCUGCAACUCCCAUAUGGACUCGGGAGAGGUGAAGCUCGAGAGCCAUAUGUCCUCUGAAACACAACCCAACCAAGCCGCACUGCUUCUUGACACAAUGCCCACUUAAUCCGGAAGCCAGCCGCACCAAUGUGUUGGAGGAAACACCGUACACCUGGUGACCGUGUCAGUGUGCCCAGCGCCCGGCCCACCACAGGAGUCGCUAGUGCGCAAUGAGACAAGGACUUCCCAGCUGGCCAAACCUUCCUGUAACUCGGACGACGCUGGUCGAUUGCAUGAAGGAUUAAUUGAUUGGUGGAUGUAUUGAUUGAGGAAAUUGAUGGAUCAUUUAUUGAGAUUUUUUUUUUAAAUGGCUCUACAAAAUGCAAACUCUUUUAUGAGAUGGGUACAGCUACUUCAUAGCAUGUCUGUUUGACCGCUGUAGGGCUUCCAAGGUGAGAAUGGGAGGGAGGGGUCACCUGGUACUGACGGUAAGCCUGGCCAAGCUCCCAGCCCUCCAGGAUCUCUGUAUCAGGUGGUGUGAAAGGAAGGCCUGGGAAAAUCUUUAGAGACUCCAGCUACCCAAGCCAUAGACUGUUCUCUCUGCUUCCGCACGGCAAGUGGUACCGCUGCACCAAGUCUGACACCAACAGGCUCUUGAACAGCUUCGAUCCCCAAGCCAUAAGACAACUAAAUAGUUAUUUUUGCACUGUCUCUAUGCACACUUACAUGAUGCUACACACUCAAGCACACUGACACACACACACGCAGACACACACAGGCAGACACUCACUUUAUUUGCUUACACGCACAUAUGUACACACAUUUAUACACACUCAAAUACAAUCAUCAUAUACGCUGCUGCUACUCUUUUUAUCAUAUAUCCUGAUGCCAAUUCACCUUACCCCUAUACAUAUCUACCUCUAUCACUCCAGUAUCCCUGCACAUUGUAAAUAUGAUAUUGGAACUGACCCUGCAAAUAGCUUACUUCUCGUGUUCUUCUUAUUUUAAUUUAGUUUGUUUUUGUUCUACCUUAUUUUACUUUUAGUGCUACAUUGAUAUUGAUUACUGGGUUUAGAGUUUGCAAGAUAUACAUUUCACUGCACUUGUGCCUGUGACAUUAAAACUUGAAACGUGA